GUGGCCACCUUGAAUCUUAUGUUUUCAAAUCGGAUUACGGACUCGCCAAUAAAACCCGACCCCUCUCUCUUCUUCACUCCUCUACCUCCUCCUCCUUCAAAACCCUAGAAAACGAACCAGACCUUCAAAUCCCCUGAUAGAUCUUCAUACAUUCCUUGCAUUUGAGAUUAAAGUCACACAGAUUUUGCAUUCAUACAUCUCUCUCUCUCCAUCGGUGUCUCACACAAACACACGAGCACCACCAGCCGCUGCCACUCCGAGUUUGGAGUUCAAUUCUGAUUCUAAGCCCCUUCCACGGAUUCGAUUAAUUCGGGUUUUCAUGCCCUUAUUGAAUGUGUUUUCACUUCUGUGAUUGCUCGUUGUGGGAUUGAA